CUGGCAUUUGUUGCUAGAAAGAAGGGAAACAAUCUAUUAUCAAGGCAAAGAAUAAAAAGUAGAUUUAAGAAAACCUGAAGCAAAAUACUUUUUUUCAGUUAAAUCUUGUUCUGCCUAGGAAAUGCCUUUUACUUACCUGAAGUCUGAGGAAAAUGACUUUGGUGACUUAGGCUUACUUGCUGAAAUGCCCAAAUGUAUUUACAUAGUUGCAUGUAUGUACUAAUGUACAUAGUUGCACAUGUUUGUACUAAUAUUAGAAAAUAUUGUAUACCCUGUUAUGCAUUUGCUCUAUUAUAUUGAAAUAUGUGGCUGUUCAUUUCUGGUUUAGGGUUCACCAGGGCUUAUGGGCUUAGCUGGACCCAAAGGUAUACGGGGAGUCCCAGGAAUACCUGGAUUUUCAGGUCCCCCAGGUCUUCCAGGUGAACCAGGAAUUGCUGGCCCCCCUGGGCGCCCAGGUGUUCCAGGUUGCAACGGCACAAAGGGUGAUCGAGGUUUCCCAGGUCCUCCAGGUAGAAGAGGUGCUCCAGGCAUUCCAGUAGGUGUCUGUGAAAUUCAUGAUUGUAUGUAUUUUUACUGCAUAGAGACACUCAGUGAAGGAGUUUUGUAAAGCCUUAUGUCAGAUGAUACUGACAACAGUUGAAAUAUAAAAGUAUCCCCAGUUUGUUAAUAAUGAAUAGAGUGCAGUAAAGAAACAAAAUGUAAAACUGAUGUUUAAUCUGCUGUAUGUUAGGCCUCAACUUUUUUGGCAGUGAAUGCAUGUGAAUUCAUUGUCUGAUAUUAGCUCUAUAAUGACACGAGGUGUACUCAUGAGAAUUUAACACAUCUCUAAAGGUGUACAGGAUGUAUUUAAAUAGAUUCCAUUUUCAGUUCAUACCUAAAUAUCAUUGAGGAUACAGCCUACUUAAGCCAAUAACAGAACACUCUGUUUGUGAAAAUAAAUCACUUAAAGAGCACUGAGUUUAAAGAGAA
rnacentral:lncRNA from 1 species